AGCGAACGCUGGCGGCAGGCCUAACACAUGCAAGUCGAACGAAGUCUUCGGACUUAGUGGCGGACGGGUGAGUAACACGUGGGAACGUGCCUUUAGGUUCGGAAUAACUCAGGGAAACUUGUGCUAAUACCGAAUGUGCCCUUCGGGGGAAAGAUUUAUCGCCUUUAGAGCGGCCCGCGUCUGAUUAGCUAGUUGGUGAGGUAAAGGCUCACCAAGGCGACGAUCAGGAGCUGGUCUGAGAGGAUGAUCAGCCACAUUGGGCCUGCGGCACGGCCCAACCGCCUACUGGAGGCAGCAGUUGGCAAUCUUGCGCAAUGGGCGAAAGCCUGACGCAGCCAUGCCGCGUGAAUGAUGAAGGUCUUAGGAUUGUAAAAUUCUUUCACCGGGGACGAUAAUGACGGUACCCGGAGAAGAAGCCCCGGCUAACUGCGUGCCAGCAGCCGCGGUAACAC
rnacentral:rRNA from 1 species